AGGGAAGGAGAAAAACUAAAUCUUCACAGUGCAAUUCACCAUCAAAGGUAUGGCCAUCAUUGUGGGGUUGGAACAGGGCUGAAGCUCCAUGGGUUGACACAGCCCUGUUGGACAUAAAAGUAAAGUUAAAGGUUCCCCUUGACAAUUUUUGUCCAGUCGUGUCCGACUCUAGGGGGCGGUGCUCAUCCCUGUUUCCAUCCCAUAGAGCUAGCGUUUGUCUGAAGACAAUCUUCCAUGGUCACGUGGCCAGUGCGACUUAGACACGGAACGCUGUUACCUUUCCACUGAGGUGGUACCUAUUUAUCUACUCGCAUUUUGCAUGCUUUCGAACCGCUAGGUUGGUGGAAGCUGGGACAAGCGACGGGAGCUCACUCUGUUGUGUGGAUUCGAUCUUACGACGGCUGGUCUUCUGACCCUGCAGCACAGAGGCUUCUGUGGUUUAACCCACAGCGCCACCACAUCCCCUGUUGGACAUACUGAUCUCAAAUCAGGGAGGCACAGAAGGCGUCUCCCAAAAUAAUCCAUGCACCCCAUGAGCAGCAUCUGUCAGCUGGGCCACUCCAGAUGCACCAAUUUGAGGAAAGGACAAAGAAGAAUAAAAUGCAUGAGGAUGUACAGGAUUCUGGCUUACCAGAAGAAACUGGUGUGGGGCUUUUUACUCAACAACUCCAACUACCACAAACCACCUUAGCCAGGAUAUACACUGUGAUGUAAAAAGCAAAGUUCUUCUCAAAAUAUUCUCAGCCCAGGAAUUUGCUAUCAGUAUUAGAACUGAGUGAGUUUGUUUUGUUUCAUUUUUGUUGUUCUUUUCAUUUCAGCACUGUAAUUUGGAUAAGAAAAGUAAUUUUGUUGGAGGUGCUGUUUAAUAAUUUAAAGCCAGAAAGUUUUACUAAUCUGCUACUUAACGCAGAGAUCUUCAGGAACAGCAGAGUCUAUUUUCUACCCUAUGUCCAAGAUUUCCCCUUUUAGCACCAAGCGACCAACAUGAAUCUGACCCAACUCUGGGAGGCAGUGGAAGACAGGAGGGCCUGGUGUGCUCUGGUCCAUGGGGUCACAAAGAGGCAGUCAUGAUUUAACGACUAAACAACAACUUCACCAGUAUCAAGCCAGAAUUUAAACAGCAGGUCUACUGUGCUUAAUGGAUUUACUUACAGCACUUUAUAAGUUUAAGA
rnacentral:lncRNA from 1 species